rnacentral:lncRNA from 1 species
CGGCCCCUCCCCCGUCUCCUUCCUGCAGCCCCAACCUUCAGCAAAGCUCUUCCUUUUGGCUCAGUCCCCAGUGGCUCUGGGGAGUGAGGACCCUGCCUGCCCGUGUACUUGAAGAUGGGGACUGGGCCAGGCUUUGCUGUGGCCUGGAAGUCCCCAGGCUGCGGUGCCCGUGGCUCUACGCCUGCGCUUCAGCCAUACUUCAGGGUCUUUUCUGUGUCUCUCUCUAUUGUGUCCACAGAGGCGCAUGAGUCAGAGGGACCUGGGGGCACCCUGCGAGGUGGCAGUGCAGUCCCUGUAGGUAGUGGCUGCAGGGGCCCUGUCCCACUCAUGAGCACAUGGGCUCCUCUGGGCCUUGAGAGUCAACGGGGUCUUUAGUGCCUGUGCCUGAUGGUGGGCUAGUGGAGGUGGGCACAGGUGGCCUGGCGGGGACACUGCCUGGGCACCAGCUCAUGGUGGACUCUCCAGUUAGAGGGAGCAGCUGGGUGUCCAGGGUCUGGGUGGGGUCCUGACCCAUGGUGAGCUGCGGUGGAGCAGGACUCCUCUCCCGGUGCCCCGCCCACAUGGCUCCAGGGUCCAGGAGCCAAUUCAGCACCUCCUUCAGGAGCAGCCUGAGGGUGGGCUAUCCCCUGUGGCAGUCCUGGACUCCGCCCCUCGGGAGAGUCAAGAAAUGAUCCUUCCAGAGCCCCUGAGAAACGCCAGAGGAUCGAGG